rfam:Aedes aegypti strain Liverpool supercont1.90 genomic scaffold, whole genome shotgun sequence.
CAAACGGUUCUUUUAAGGGCCACCAAUGAUUUGCUAAAGAGUUGUUU